CAAUAGCGUAUAUUAAAGUUGUUGCGGUUAAAAAGCUCGUAGUUGGAUUUCUGCCGAGGACGACCGGUCCGCCCUCUGGGUGAGUAUCUGGCUCGGCCUGGGCAUCUUCUUGGAGAACGUAGCUGCACUUGACUGUGUGGUGCGGUAUCCAGGACUUUACUUGAGGAAAUUAGAGUGUUUCAAGCAGGCAUACGCCUUGAAUACAUUAGCAUGGAAUAAUGGAAUAGGACGCUGGUUCUAUUUUGUUGGUUUUGAGAACCAGAGUAAUGAUUAAUAGGGACAGUUGGGGGCAUUCAUAUUUCAUUGUCAGAGGUGAAAUUCUUGGAUUUAUGAAAGACGAACUUCUGCGAAAGCAUUUGCCAAGGAUGUUUUCAUUAAUCAAGAACGAAAGUUGGGGGCUCGAAGAUGAUCAGAUACCA
rnacentral:rRNA from 1 species